ACAGUGACGUGAAUGUCAGUUGAAUAAAAUCUUGGGGAGCACCGUCACGCCGUGCAUUGUAUCUGUCGCCAUUGCCACCUACGUUUGUGUGGCGCCUUGCAGCCUCGAAACGGCCUUCAAACUAGAACCCUUCCGGUGGCGCGAUGUCGAGUAAAUAAACCAACGACCGGGACCGCGAAUUCUCCCCAUCCUGCUCAGUGCGCGCUCUGAUCCUUUGUCGUCUUCGGCAAUGCAAAGGAUUCCCCCCAGUUAGUGAAGUUUGUGAUUUGUCAGGUUGUCGUGGCGAUUUUGUUGCAAUUGUGCAUGUAAAUUGGAAGUAAUUGAAUUUGUUGAUAUUUAUAUGAGCCGGCGUCGCUCCCAGGCCGGGACCUCACUGGAUUUUUGUGGUAAUUGCAGGAAGCGGUAGUCAGGAAGUUAUCAAAAUGGCGACAAAUCAAGCGUUUGAGGAAGAUGUCUCUGAUCAAUCAACGACACGAAAUGGCCAAAAGAUGAAUAUGUAUUCGAUCAACUCUUCGCCGCCCACCGAGAAUACUGCACUGUCUACUUACUUUAGUGAUGAAAAAGUAGAAAUUCCUGACGUUGAGAAGACAGGAUUUAGUUUCCGGAAAUUAUGGGCGUUCACCGGACCUGGGUUUCUAAUGUCCAUUGCAUACUUAGAUCCAGGAAACAUAGAAAGCGAUUUACAAAGUGGAGCAAUUGCCAAAUAUAAGUUAUUGUGGGUACUUUUAGGUGCAACAAUUCUCGGCCUACUUAUGCAAAGGUUAUCAGCAAGAAUUGGUGUUGUGACUGGUCUUCAUUUAGCUGAAAUGUGUUAUAGACAAUAUAAGAAAAUUCCAAGGUUAAUAUUAUGGAUCAUGAUCGAAAUUGCAAUUAUUGGGUCGGAUAUGCAGGAGGUCAUUGGCACGGCAAUUGCAAUUUAUUUAUUAUCGAAUAAAACUGUUCCUUUAUGGGCGGGAACUCUAAUAACAAUAGCAGACACAUUCACAUUUUUAUUUCUAGAUAAGUACGGUUUGCGGAAACUAGAAUUGCUAUUUGGAACGCUUAUCACUGUCAUGGCUGUUACGUUUGGCUAUGAAUAUGUUGUUUCGGCACCAGAUCAGGUCGAAGUAGUCAAAGGAAUGUUCAUCCCAUGGUGUAGCAAUUGCAGUUCUAAAGACCUCUUACAAGCGGUUGGAAUUAUCGGGGCCGUCAUCAUGCCGCAUAACUUAUACUUGCAUUCAGCACUCGUAAAGUCGCGUGAUGUCGAUCGUCGUCAACCAUCCAAAGUACGUGAUGCUAACUUUUACUUCUUUGUUGAGGCAUGCGUGGCACUAUUUGUUUCGUUUAUUAUUAAUUUAUUCGUUGUAGCAGUAUUUGCACAUGGAUUGUAUGGAAAAACAAAUAAUCAAGUGCUUGAUGUAUGCGUAAAUCAAUCGAUGUACGAUGAUGCGGUAAUUUCAUUCACUCAUAAUAACGAAACAGUCGACGCUGACUUGUACAAAGGUGGCUUGUUCCUCGGAUGCACAUUUGGAGCUGCAGCUAUGUACAUUUGGGCGGUUGGUAUUCUAGCCGCUGGGCAAAGUUCUACAAUGACUGGGACAUAUGCCGGCCAAUUCGCAAUGGAAGGUUUUUUGAAUUUGCAAUGGGCCCGAUGGAAGCGGGUUUUAGUCACCCGAAUGAUUGCCAUUAUCCCAACAUUCUGUGUGGCAUUUUUCACUUCAAUCGAACAAAUGAGUGGAAUGAAUGAUAUUUUAAAUGCUGUGAUGUCCUUGCAGUUGCCAUUUGCAGCUAUACCUACUAUAGCGUUUUCAUCGAGUUAUAAUAUUAUGGGGGAAUUUGUUAACGGAAUAGGAAAUAAAAUUGUUGCAAUCCUGCUUACGAUUCUUGUUAUUACCAUUAAUUUAUAUUUUGUUGCUAAUCAAGUUGAGACUUCGAAUUUAUCUGAUGGUUUUUGGGCGCUUGUUGUGAUAUUUUCAAUUUUGUAUCUCCUCUUCAAUAUAUAUCUUGUGAUACAUAUGGCUGCAUUCAUGGGAAAUAGAAAAUUAUUGGACGCGUCGUUCGUGCAAAAAUAUGUUUUGGUACAACAAUCAAGUUUUUCUGUUGAAAACGCGAGUACAACAUAUUCCAGUUUUGCUACAACAUCACAUAAUGUAAACAUGUGAUGGAAAAUGUGUGUAGUUAAGGUGGUUGAUACACUCAAUGCAAGAUGCCUGACCAUUACUGAAUGAUACUGACUCUGAAAACUACGAAAUUAGCUAACAAAAGUGGUUUUUCAUCAUAUACCAAUCUUACAGUAACUUUGUCGUUUACAAAUAUGAUGUAGUAAAACAAAAUGAAAUGUCCAUUGCGAUACUAUCGGCGGGCCUUAUGAUGUAUAAUAAAUGAUUUUGUAAAGGAAACCUGACUUAAAAUGUAGCAUAUUAUGUUUUUCAUAGAGUAUACAAUUCAAGUUGAAAUAUACAUACUUAUUUGAAUACUAAAAAA
rnacentral:misc_RNA from 1 species